CAUAUCCUAUCUAUCCCCUCGACAUCUACAAUCGCAACAAUCUUACCAAUUAUAAUAGUUAAAACUUACGACUGGAAUCAAAGUUCCAUUUUUGUAUUUUUGGUCGAUUGUUGAUUUGUUAUCCCGGUAGGAAGCUUUUUCUAGAUUUUUGUCCGGCAUAUCAUUUUUACCUAAUCUGCAUGUUAUUUCUUAUAGUUGCUGAAAGUUCAAGAUCCGGCACUUUCCCAUUCCGAUUUAGAUGAGAAACAAUGAAGAAAGUGCUUCGUCAGAUCAUCCAUGUAUCUCCUCCAACAACCAUUCCACUUCGCCAGAUCUGCAAGUGUGGGAUUUUCCAAGUCUCGGCUGAAAAGCCUCAACUUCACAAAGUUGAGAUUUAUCCGAGAAAUGGUCAAGUGUUGGCAAUUUGCAAGAACUGGGCGCUGGGAUGUUGCAGGGGAAUCAUUUCGAGCUCCCCAGAGGCACCCGCAACUCGAAACCGGAGGCACCUGGUUCGAGAUCAUAUUUUAGGGACGUAAUUGCCUCCAUUUUUUAUCAUAAAUUUGGGAAGGACGGAAGAUACCUACUAAGUCGUAAUUACAUGACUAUGAAGGUUUGAUGAAUUGUUUUACCCGGAAACAAAACCUAUGAGAUUAUGCAAUAGGCUCUAAGGACAUUUUUCUCGAACAAGAUUAAUUUUCAAGCAUCAAAGAAAGGAGAUAGUGUAUAAGAUUACUUCGAAGAUGAGAUGAAUUACUGUUAGUUUGUGUUAACUGCAUGAAGAGUAAGAGAAGAGUUGAAGCUCUCUUCACAUUUCUGAGAAUAUUAGAAAGUUCAUGCUGAAAUGUGCACACUGUACAGUAUUAUUGUUUUUAUACAUGCAUGGAAAACUUUCACUA